rnacentral:rRNA from 1 species
GGGGCUUCGGCCCUGAGUAAAGUGGCAAACGGGUGAGUAACGCGUGGGUGAUCUGCCUCUGAGUGGGGGAUAACCUUCCGAAAGGAGGGCUAAUACCGCAUGACAUCCUGUUCUUGGAUGAACGGUGAUCGAAGCUGGGGACCGCAAGGCCUGGCGCUUGGAGAGGAGCCCGCGUCCGAUUAGCUAGUUGGUGGGGUAAAAGCCUACCAAGGCGACGAUCGGUAGCCGGCCUGAGAGGGCGGACGGCCACACUGGGACUGAGACACGGCCCAGACUCCUACGGGAGGCAGCAGUGGGGAAUUGUUCGCAAUGGGCGCAAGCCUGACGACGCAACGCCGCGUGGGGGAUGAAGGUCUUCGGAUUGUAAACCCCUGUUGGGUGGGACGAACACUCCUGUGGUGAAUAUCCACGAGAGCUGACGGUACCACCUGAGGAAGCCCCGGCUAACUCUGUGCCAGCAGCCGCGGUAAUACAGAGGGGGCAAGCGUUGUUCGGAAUUACUGGGCGUCAAGGGCGCGUAGGCGGCCUGUUAAGUCGGACGUGAAAUCCCUCGGCUCAACCGGGGAACUGCGUCUGAUACUGGCGGGCUUGAAUUCGGGAGAGGGAUGUGGAAUUCCAGGUGUAGCGGUGAAAUGCGUAGAUAUCUGGAGGAACACCGGUGGCGAAGGCGGCAUCCUGGACCGACAUUGACGCUGAGGCGCGAAAGCCAGGGGAGCAAACGGGAUUAGAUACCCCGGUAGUCCUGGCCCUAAACGAUGAGUGCUUGGUGUGGCGGGUAUCGAUCCCUGCCGAACCGAAGCU